rnacentral:lncRNA from 1 species
AAGACGUGUUCACCAGUAAUACAUGUAGUAUAUUGCUAUUGCAGUAUUUGCCUUCCUACUGUGUUGUUGCUUGCGCAAACGAAGUGUAUUUGGUGAACGUGAAACGUGUAUUGUGUUACAAAUAAGAUGCAUGAUAUAUCUUAAGAUUUCUUGCACAUAGAAUUUUUAUUAAUGUUUUAAAUCAUAUAUUUUCCAAAACAACUAUGUGUUGCUGUAUGAAAAGCAAGAGAGUAGUUUGACUUUAUGUUGUACCUAUCUUAUAAAUUAAUGUACAUGUUGAAGUGUUUUGCACUGAUAUGUUACACCAGUAUUCAAUGUUAAGGAACGUUUUGGUACCAGAAAACGUUUUAACCCCUUUGAAUUCCAUACGUGCGUCUCCAAAGUGAGGAGCCAGUAUUUUAGUGGAUGUCACGAGUUGUUGCAUAUCAUAUUUUGGUUCUCACUGAUUGUUUUGUACAUAUAAUUGGUUGUAAGUUUGCUGGUUUGAAUGGUUUUA